AUUGAACGCUGGCGGCAGGCCUAACACAUGCAAGUCGAGCGGAUGAAGGGAGCUUGCUCCUGGAUUCAGCGGCGGACGGGUGAGUAAUGCCUAGGAAUCUGCCUGGUAGUGGGGGAUAACGUCCGGAAACGGGCGCUAAUACCGCAUACGUCCUGUGGGAGAAAGUGGGGGAUCUUCGGACCUCACGCUAUCAGAUGAGCCUAGGUCGGAUUAGCUAGUUGAUGGGGUAAAGGCCUACCAAGGCGACGAUCCGUAACUGGUCUGAGAGGAUGAUCAGUCACCCUGGAACGGAGACACGGUCCAGACUCCUACGGGAAGCAGCAGUGGGGAAUAUUGGACAAUGGGCGAAAGCCUGAUCCAGCCAUGCCGCGUGUGUGAAGAAGGUCUUCGGAUUGUAAAGCACUUUAAGUUGGGAGGAAGGGCAGUAAGUUAAUACCUUGCUGUUUUGACGUUACCAACAGAAUAAGCACCGGCUAACUUCGUG
rnacentral:rRNA from 1 species